UAAAUAAAAACCUUUAAUAUGAACUCUCUUUUGUUGCAGUAGCGUCGUUUUAUACUGAAAAAGUACAUUAAUUCAGUGAGAACAAAAUACCUCAUUAGACAUGUCUUUUUAACAGAAUUACCAAAGGCACACUAAUUGGGACCCAUUUCAGUUACUAUGUAACAAAUGUAACUUAUUCAACUUAGCAAUUUAUACUCUAGUUUGAUAAGUUGAUCAGAGGACGUGAGAGGAUUUAAAGUAAGUAAGAAGUGACUUUCUGUUCUCUGGGGUAACAAAAUGAUAUGUGGUUGUUGAGCUGAGCUUCAGGCCCCGCCCCUUUCUGGCUGAGUGCAGGUCUGGGUGUGUCUCCCACCCUAGUGGCAGCAGCCUGUUUUCUCCAGGUGGAGAUGAUUAAAUAAAUUGUUUGGAGGUACUCUCUAACACAUGAGCUGCUGACAAUGUGUGAGAGAGGUGCUGGAAAAUGGACACUGCAGGACUGAGAAAGAUUGUUUCAAGGAAAGGAAGGAGCCGGUUUUUCACCUAUUGUGACCACCUGUGAACUUUAAAAAUAAAGGAAAGGAGGAAAAGAAAAAUGGUUUCUGGGUCAUUGAAUGAAAUCCAGUUUGAAUCCUAUUGAAGCAAGCUGCCUUUUCAAGUGGGGGAAACCUGCAGUGUAAGCCCAAAAAAGUGGGAACCACUUGGCCCCUCUUCAGUAUGGGAAAGACAAAAAAACAUGCCAUUCAAGGACGGCAGAUGGGUGUUGCUCUUCAUAAUUUAUUGCUAUGUUAAACUUGACCAAAUCUACAGUGAAGCAAUGAUUAAAUAGUUUCAAACUGUUGUAACUGAGAGAAACAAGACUGAACAAGGAUCAGGGUUAGGCUUUUUGACAACACUCCAGCGAGUCAAGUGUUGAACUAGUAUCAGUCUUUGGUAAAGGAAUGCUAAAUACAGUAGAGAUCCUGUGAUGCUGUGGACCUGUUUUGCUCCUAAAAUAACUAAGUUACCGAUCCUGGCUCUUGACAUUUUAAAUAAAAAUCUGUUGGUCAAUGCACGAGAA